CAUCAGCUUCAGGCCACUCUGCUUCUUGUGAGGAGAGACCCAGCCAGCGUCAGCGUUGCUAUGGCGCUCUGCCGGAGCUUCUCUCUGCCUCUUCCGCUGCUGGCGUCAGCUGUUUCUAUGGUGCUGGCCGGAGCUUCACUGCCUCUUCCGGCCUCAGCGUCACCGUUGCUAUGGCGCUGACCGGAGGUUCCCUCAGCCUUCUUCCGCCGCUGCUCCCGGCACCAGCAGGCCACCGCAAGCACCCCGCCAGACCACGCCGUCCUCUCCUGCUGCCUGGAUGACCCGGCAAGGCACCACAGCAGUGCAGCACCUCUUCGAUCUCUGCUGCCGCUUCCGGAGGGCAGCUGGCAGUGCGGGAAAAAAGCACCACUGGCCGUACUCCCACCACGCAGGUCCAAGAUGAGGAUGAUGGUGAAGCAGGAACAUCCAGACAACGUCAAAUUUCCCAAGGUCGCCCCCCACAGAUGCUGAAAACAUGCCCCCAGACACCCAGCAGGACACAGAAAUGGAGGAAACCUUUUUCCUUCAACUCCAGCCAAUAGACCCAACAAUACCAACAAUGCCACUUGUGAGCACGCCACCAACACAAACCACACCUGCACCACAAAUGAGCCCUACAUCACCACAUGCUACAACACAGGAUCAGGCCUUUUGGAACAGUUGGACAACCUAACAGGCCAAUAAUCUUGAUUUUCUGCGCAGACAAUCGCAAUUUGUUGCUAGUCUGCCACAUCAGCUUCCCCAAAUAAGUAGGAAUAGUAGCCGCCUAAAUGUGCAAAUCACAAGAAUUGCCAAUGCUAUGGAACUAAUGCAUGCGGACAACACACAGAUGAUGAACAUUUUCCAAAGAGUAAUGGAUGAACAACACAGAUAGCACCAAAAGUACAUCAACAUUCUUGGAAACAACCAAAUGAUAACAGAAAGCAUAAGCCGAAUAAUUGAAAAUCACACUGCAGCAACCACAGAACUCUACCCUACUCUGAGUAAUCUGAGCAACAACAUCAGUUUACUCCAACCUAGAUAAGCAAGCACCAGCUCAGGAAACACAACUUCGAGCAUGACCCCAGUUACCUCCCCAAUAAGGAGAUCCAGCUGGACACGGACAAACGUGACUGGGAAA